rnacentral:lncRNA from 1 species
AUGAAGAAAUAUAUGUCUCAUGGCCAGUCCCAAAGUUUCAUAGCAGCGAUGCCACUACCCAAGGCAAUGGAAUAUGAGACCACUUUCAAAUGGAGGAAGACCUCAAAGAUGAAAACCCUUGAAGGUGAACCUCUACAAAUAAAAACUUAAUCUCUGACGUUUGCUAUGGAAUAUGCAAACAUGUAAGGUUUGCUCCAAAAAAAGCUGAAGAACCUCGGAGCCCUUCCGUCACUAAUGGAAAAUAUUACAAAAGUAGCAUAAAAACUUCUACAACUACAUGGCACAAAUAACAAAUACCAGUGCAAUGAAAGAACACAUGACAAAAUGUUUGUCUCAUGGCCAGUCCCAAUGUUUCAUUGCGGCGACGCCGCUACCAAGGGCAAUGGAAUAUGAGACCGCCUUCAAAUGGAGAAAUUCCAGAAGGAAAAUCUCAACAUCAAAAGGCUUACUUUAUGACGUUAGCUUGGAAAUAUGCAAACAUGUGUGGUUUGCUCCACAAGAAAGCUGAAGGACAUGGACGCCCUUCCGUCAAACAUUAAAUUGUUGUCACUGUCAAUGAAAAUAAUGAGACAGUCUCCAAUGCAUUCAUCUGCUUUGGAAAACAUUCAACAGCCCCAAAAAAAACAGAACAAGAUUGCAACCAUGGCUGCAUCAUAAACAAUGGAGCAAUAACAGUACCAAAAUGGUUUGCAAGCAAUUGAAUAGCAGCAACGCCACUACCCAAGGCAAUGGAAUAUGAGACCACUUUCAAAUGGAGGAAGACCUCACAGAUGAAAACCCUUGAAGGUGAACCUCUACAAAUAAAAACUUAAUCUCUGACGACUGCUAUGGAAUAUGCAAACAUGUAAGGUUUGCUCCAAAAAAAGCUAAGGAACAUCGGAGAGGGAAAAUAUUACAAAAGUAGCAUAAAAACUUCUACAACUACAUGGCACAAAUAACAAAUACCAGUGCAAUGAAAGAACACAUGACAAAAUGUUUGUCUCAUGGCCAGUCCCAAUGUUUCAUUGCGGCGACGCAGCUACCAAGGGCAAUGGAAUAUGAGACCACCUUCAAAUGGAGAAAUUCCAGAAGGAAAAUCUCAACAUCAAAAGGCUUAGUUUAUGACGUUAGCUUGAGAAUAUGCAAACAUGUGUGGUUUGCUCCACAAGAAAGCUGAAGGACAUGGACGCCCUUCCGUCAAACUUUAAAUUGUUGUCACUGUCUAUGAAAAUAAUGAGACAGUCUCCAAUGCAUUCAU